GCAAAAAUACUCAUCUGCUGCCCUGGGGUGCUGAGAGAUCCUGUGAGGGGCACCAGAGGAAGUGGUAGGAGAUAAGCAAGGGGUGAGGAGAUGAGCAGUGAAAAGCAGGCUCAAGCUUCAGUUGAAAGGCUCAAGGUCUCUAACCUGGCUGGUACCUUGCCCCCUUGCAAGAGCAUGAAAGCAGCACGUGAAUGAAAUUUCGGAAGAAUAACGUUCUCAUCCAAGACAUCUGAGUUGACUCCACUACAGUUACAGCAACGUAAUGCAGAGAGGCUACCAAUAUAGACGCCGAGUCCCUGCCACACCAGCUGAAUUCAGAUGAUUUGUCCAGCUGUUCACCUGGCUUGACAUGUUACCGG